rnacentral:rRNA from 1 species
UGGCCCUACGGGGCGCAGCAGUGGGGAAUAUUGCACAAUGGGCGAAAGCCUGAUGUAGCAACGCCGCGUGAGUGAAGAAGUAUCUCGGUACGUAAAGCUCUAUCAGCAGGGAAGAAAAAAAGUCUUUGGCUUUGGACGGUACCUGACUAAGAAGCCCCGGCUAACUACGUGCCAGCAGCCGCGGUAAUACGUAGGGGGCAAGCGUUAUCCGGAUUUACUGGGUGUAAAGGGAGCGUAGACGGCAGCGCAAGUCUGGAGUGAAAUGCCGGUGCUCAACCCCGGAACUGCUUUGGAAACUGUGCAGC